GGAGGAAAAGAAACCAACAGGGAUUGCCUCAGUAACGGCGAGUGAAGCGGCAUCAGCUCAAAUUUGAAAUCUGGUCUCACGACCCGAGUUGUAAUUUGUAGAGAAUGCUUCGGGCGAGGUCCGGUCUAAGUUCCUUGGAACAGGACGUCAUAGAGGGUGAGAAUCCCGUAUGCGACCGGUCGCCUCCGCCCAUGUGAAGCUUCUUCGACGAGUCGAGUUGUUUGGGAAUGCAGCUCAAAAUGGGUGGUAAAUUUCAUCUAAAGCUAAAUACUGGCCAGAGACCGAUAGCGCACAAGUAGAGUGAUCGAAAGAUGAAAAGCACUUUGGAAAGAGAGUUAAACAGUACGUGAAAUUGUUGAAAGGGAAGCGCUUGCAACCAGACUUGCGCGCAGCCGAUCAUCCGGUGUUCUCACCGGUGCACUCGGUUGCGCUCAGGCCAGCAUCGGUUUCGGUGGUUGGAUAAAGGCCCGGGGAAUGUAGCUCCUCUCGGGGAGUGUUAUAGCCCUGGGUGCAAUGCAGCCUACCGGGACCGAGGACCGCGCUUCGGCUAGGAUGCUGGCGUAAUGGUUGUAAGCGAC
rnacentral:rRNA from 1 species